GGCACAAACAGCCUAGGCUGAUCACCUGUUC
rnacentral:piRNA from 1 species